rnacentral:rRNA from 1 species
CCCUGCCCAUCCCGAACAGGACCGUGAAACGACUCCACGCCGAUGAUAGUGCGGAUUGCCCGUGUGAAAGUAGGUAAUCGUCAGGC